AUCCUUGCACUUCACAGUUUGUGA
rnacentral:piRNA from 1 species